ensembl:snRNA
GUGUUGUAUGAAAGGAGAAAAGGUUAGCACUCCCCUUGACAAAGAUGGAAGAGGCCAUUGGGCAUGUCAACACGCAUAUGGUUAAGGCAUUGCCACCUACUUUGUGGCAUCUAACCAUUGCUUUUA